rnacentral:rRNA from 1 species
UACAGAGGCCUCGAGCGUUAGGCGGAAUCACUGGGCGUAAAGCGUGCGUAGACGGUUUCGUAAGUCGGGUGUGAAAGCCCCGGGCUCAACCUGGGAAUUGCAUUCGAGACUGCGUAGCUAGGGUGCGGAAGAGGGAAGCGGAAUUUCCGGUGUAGCGGUGAAAUGCGUAGAUAUCGGAAGGAACAUCAGUGGCGAAAGCGGCUUCCUGGUCCAGCACCGACGUUCAGGCACGAAAGCGUGGGGAGCAAACAGG